AUUGAACGCUGGCGGCGUGCCUAAUACAUGCAAGUCGAGCGAAGCGGCGGAUGGGUGAGUAACGCGUGGGUAACCUGCCCUUAAGUCUGGGAUACCAUUUGGAAACAGCUGCUAAUACCGGAUACUAAAGGAUGGCCCUGCAAUGAAUUAGCGAGGUGGUAAGGUAAAGGCUUACCAAGGCGAUGAUGCAUAGCCGAGGUGAGAGACUGAUUGGCCACAUUGGGACUGAGACACGGCCCAAACUCCGACGGGAGGCAGCAGUAGGGAAUCUUCCACAAUGGACGAAAGUCUGAUGGAGCAACGCCGCGUGAGUGAAGAAGGGUUUCGGAUCGUAAAGCUCUGUUGUUGGUGAAGCGGUAAUCAACCAGAAAGUCACUGCUAACUACGUGCCAGCAGCCGCGGUAAUUC
rnacentral:rRNA from 1 species